UUCUAAAUUAAAUACUCUAAAUUUUAGCAAUACUCUACAUAAUUUAAAGAAUAGGCUCACGACUGGCACCUUAAGUCACGAAGUUUGACAGUUCUAAAUUAAAUUAAAUUUGUCUCUU